rnacentral:tRNA from 1 species
GGUAGUGUGGCCGAGAGCUAGGUGACGAAUUGUAGCUUCGUUGAGGGGAAAAGUGCAGGUAUCCCUACUACCA